GAUGAAGAACGCAGCGAAAUGCGAUAAGCAAUGUGAAUUGCAGAAUUCAGUGAAUCAUCGAAUCUUUGAACGCACAUUGCGCCCCCUGGAAUUCCGGGGGGCAUGCCUGUUCGAGCGUCUCAGGGACGAACCCUCGCGCGGGUGUACGCGCGGUCGUGGCUGCGGUGGCGUGCCCGAGGCGGCGGCCACCGCGCUGGAAUCCAUGGGCGGACGCCUGCCGCGUGGCCGAGCGUGAUAUGACGCAUUGGCGCUCGCACGCGGCGAGGCUGCCAGCCCUGGCCCGUCUGUCGGGCGGGGGAGAGCAAGACACGUGAACUCCUCGAAUCAGGUAGGGAUACCCGCUGAACUUAAGCAUAUCAAUAAGCGGAGGA
rnacentral:misc_RNA from 1 species